UACGAAGGGGGCUAGCGUUGCUCGGAAUUACUGGGCGUAAAGCGCACGUAGGCGGCUUUCUAAGUCGGAGGUGAAAUCCUGGAGCUCAACUCCAGAACUGCCUUCGAUACUGGAGAGCUUGAGUCCGGGAGAGGUGAGUGGAACUGCGAGUUUAGAGGUGAAAUUCGUAGAUAUUCGCAAGAACACCAGUGGCGAAGGCGGCUCACUGGCCCGGUACUGACGCUGAGGUGCGAAAGCGUGGGGAGCAAACAGG
rnacentral:rRNA from 1 species